UUAAAUCUUACCCAGAUACAAUAGUGCUAUUUUCUGAUUGGCUAUUGUGUAGCCUAUUUCUUUUUUUUGAUUGGGUGAUAAGUGGCAGGCUCGACUAAGAACUCCAGGGGAGACGCGCUUGAAUCCUGCCGGUUCCAUAGCGAGAGCGGCGCGGCCAGAGAAAUGUUGGGCGCUGCGGUAUAUUAAAUAUAUUAUAAAUAGUUUUUUCUGCGUGAGAAAUACAAUGUGUGGCGGGAGUGCGUGACAAUAGACCGAAAUGAGUGACUGUCACGCUCAAUGCGUGACACUUGAGAGCCCUGCCAUGCACACUGAGGAAGAGGAGCAGCAGAUGAAGCUGCGUCCUGUCGCGUCCUCUCCUGCCUGCCGGCAUUCUGCAUCAAACCAGCAGCCACUGCGUGAAAACACAGCUGGGUCCAGACAGCCUCCACCGGAGGAAGCGCAGACCGAAAGGCGGCUGGAGAUGGGGCUCACUUCUGAUGUCCUGCAAGAGAGAGACGAGAGGCGGAUGAAGGGAGGGCUGUAGGACAACACAAGCAAGAGACCGAAUUAGAACAGAUGGAAGAUUUACCCUAACCCAUCAGUCCAUACGAAAGCAUGGGAAAUCCAACAGAGAAAUACAAACAGCAAAGAAGAAAUGGCAGUGAAACAGAAAGACAGAAACCAGCAAAAUGCUGUUCCCGUCAAACACGCUGCCUGUGAAGAACGCGCAGGUGUAUUGAGAGCGUUCACGCAUGGAUCACCGCCUCCUCUUCAUCUCCAUUUCCAUGACAACGGAAUCCCCUCGGAAUCCCCCACACCGGAGGAACACGCGGAUACCCGACCGCUGUGUGUGAAGCAGCCCAGCGCUGACGGUCGCCAACGCUGUCACGGAUAUGGCAGCAGGACGCCAAAACCACAUUAAGCAAGCUCUGACUCUGUUCAACACAAGCAACUAUUGCACAUAGUCUCCAUAUCCCAGAAACCAGCUUAAAGCAGAAACUGGCUCACAACCGACAGAACACAGCGGUCGGGCUGCCAAACGUAUGGACCUUUUCCACAGAGCUGCCAUCAGGUCACAGACUGACCAUCCAGCAUCCUGUCCCCUGACUGUCCGGUCGCUCUGGAACCCAUGCAGAUAGACUGGCUAUGAAGAUCAACAGCUGCUGUCAUGGAUAGAAGGCUCCUCUUAGCCCAGUGGUCGUCAACUCGUCGAUCUUUAUCCCUGUUCCGGUAACUCUCGAAAAAAACAGAACAGAAAAAAACACAUUUCUUUGUACUGUAUCUUUUUGUACUUCUUUUUCUCUCAUUUUUUCACUGUCACUUUUUUUUCCUGCGGUAACCAAUAAAAGAAAUCUGUUCCAGAAGCGCCACCUGCUGUCAGAGUCCAUUCAGUCCAUCUGCUGUUUCUGUUUCAUGAAGAUGUUUUGUGUAGUAUAAUUUCACAAAGAUAAAGUCGGACCGUUUUGUUGAAUUUUUAUAAUCUAAUUCAAAUAAAAAACAACGGCUCAGGGAACUUGUGUGUGGCAUCUUUGUUUGGGUCAUGAUUAAAAUGCGGUGAUUGCCUCCAAUUUGAAAUGAUUAUGUUUAAGGCCAGUUUGCUUCUUGUAGAACAACCAAACAAUAAGUAAAUUUGCUUUAAAAAAUGGUAAAAAUUCAGUUCAGAAGCGGUCAA